ensembl:lncRNA
CUGGCAGCCAUUUUAGACUGGAGCUCUGCUAACAUGGAGCGAUCUCAGGUUUCUUAGGCUUUCACAGUGCAGUGAGUUCAGUCAGCGGCUUGUUCUGUCAUCCAUCUUCCAUCGGGGGCCCUUCCCCCCCUCACAUACUCACACACACAGUUUCAUUCUACAAUCUGGUCACCAUCCACUGUACUCAGAGAGCUGUAUAAAUUUGCCUCUGAGCCUUUUCCAGAGGGAGUCUCACCACAUUAGUGGACUCCAGUCUAAAUGUCACCCACUACUGAAAGACAACAACUCCUUGCACUGACCUUGAUCCUGCAGAAAUGUCACGGUAUCCACCCAACCUUGAGAUUACACUGGAGAGAAGGGACUAUAUUUGCACAUGAAGACUCUUGCCAUUAAAGAUCCCACACAACCAUGUGUUGAUCUUUCUGUUUGUUUGGCUUUGAAUGGCCCUUAUGUUACUUUUACUCUCAGUUAAUUUGUCUUUUUAUUACACACUGGUGGUUACAAUGACUUGCAGGCUCACUGUGUUUGGUCUGCAUUGUUAACUACAAGCAACUCUUUACAUAGACGUUGCCAAUAAAGAGUCAUUUGUAUUUUAUACAAAUAGGCUUCCUUAUGUUAACUGAACACAGUUGAUAACAUAACAGACUGGCAUUAGCAUGUUGACGGUUGAACACCUGCAAAUCUAACUAUAGUGUUGUCAUUUUUUCUUUAUAUAUCAUUGUCUGCACACAUGCUCUUAAGCUCACAGGUGAUUUCAAUAGAGAUUACAUAGAUGAUUACCUAAAAAGGACACAUUAAACUGAUCAAAACUGAUCAAAAAUAGUUUCAAAUGUUUUUAUUUCGAAUAAAUGCUGUUCUUUUUAACAUUGUUUUCAUCAAAGAAUCUUGGGGUGAAAAAUCUGUCUUAAAUAUGAAGCAGCACAACAUGUAUUUUCAUCACUGCUAAUAAAAAGAAAUGUUUCUUGUGCAGCAAAUCAGCAUAUUAGAAUGAUUUCUGAAGGAUUAGACUGGAGUAAUGAUACUGAAAAUUCAGCUUUGCAACGCAGGAAUAAAUUACAUUUUAAAAUAUAUUCAAGUAGAAAGCCAUUAUUUUAAAUUGUAAU